rnacentral:ncRNA from 1 species
AAGCCGCGAAUCCUCUUGAAAGAGAGGGGUGCCCUCAGGAAUGUGGACAUAGCUGGUGCAUGGCUGCCGCCAGCUCAUGCCGUAAGGUGUUGGGUUAAGUCUCGCAACGAGCGCAACCCUCGUGUUUAGUUGUCACUAUGAGUUUGGAACUCUUAACAAACCACGGUGUUAUAACAAGCCUCUAGCUCUUAU